UUACAUAUUUAUUUUAUUUUAUUUUUUUUACUUACAGCAGUUCUGUCGCUGGCAAUAGCGCAGAACAGCAAGACAAGUGUCGAAGGUGUCAGCAAGUACAUCAAGGCAUCACUUUUACACUGACAUUAGAGGCUUUGGUAGACGAUAACUGCUGUGACUCUCAGUGCAAGUUGGCGGGAGUGUGGGGUAACUUUGAAAACUGGAACUACGAAGCCGGGGCGCUGAACACUGCUGCGACUAUGCGUGACGAAGCCACCCAGCAGAGUACACCAUAUGCUCCUCCAACAGUCAUCAUGUCUUGAGUGGUGUGCCAGUGUGAUCCUAACAUCUUUAGUGGCACUGCUAACCAUGACAUGGAGGAUUGAUUAUUUUUGUACAAAAUGGUCAAUAUAGCAAGUGGAACAAUUCUACCAAGCAAAGCAUUGCUAAGAGUGGGAGUGUGCCCCAGCCAUGCGCAUUGUCUUCCAGACAUAGAACAAAUAGCAACAGAAAACAAAGAAAAAAAUCCUGGCAAAACCAACCUCGGAUCGAGAUCUUGUUAAGUGAUAGCUUGUGCAUUAUGCACGCUGCAAAGACUCUUUGUCCUCAUUGUGGUUGCCCAUGUGCAUGCUUAUGUUAGAAGCCGGGCACCUGUUAGCUGCAGUCACAUGUUUUGUGGCAUUAGGCCUGCAUGGGUACUGAAAUGGUAGGACAGUACACUGGGGCAUUAAACUCAAGUGGCAAUGAAGUUUUUAGCACUCUUGGGUUCAGGCAAAUGUCUCCUUCCCAAAGAAUGCACAGAAGCCAAGAAGAGCUAUUCUAUUCUAAAGUAAAGCUCUCCACAUGGAAAAAUGUCUCACCACAUUUGUUGUUACAAUAAAAUUUUGGUUUCUGCCCACUGCCUUGGAUUAAGCUCUCCUUGAGAGCCCAUGCCAUCAUUCAUACUGAAUACUGACUGAUUUAUCACUAAUUUCCUACCCUUUCAAUGAGUGUCCUUAUUGAUAAACUAAUUUCAAAUCUCCCUAACAAAAACCACUCUGUACUUCAGCAGCUAGCUUUCCAGUUUUCUUCAAGUAGGUAAUUGUAAAUGUUAGAAGUGUAUGGAAUGCAACCAAGUGAGGCACACAUCUCUCCAGAUUUGCCCCAUAAGUU